GACGAACGCUGGCGGCGUGCUUAACACAUGCAAGUCGAACGGAAAGGCCCUGCUUGCAGGGUACUCGAGUGGCGAACGGGUGAGUAACACGUGGGUGAUCUGCCCUGCACUUCGGGAUAAGCCUGGGAAACUGGGUCUAAUACCGGAUAGGAGCCAUUUUUAGUGUGAUGGUUGGAAAGUUUUUUCGGUGUAGGAUGAGCUCGCGGCCUAUCAGCUUGUUGGUGGGGUAAUGGCCUACCAAGGCGGCGACGGGUAGCCGGCCUGAGAGGGUGGACGGCCACAGUGGGACUGAGAUACGGCCCAGACUCCGACGGGAGGCAGCAGUGGGGAAUAUUGCACAAUGGGCGCAAGCCUGAUGCAGAGACGCCGCGUGGGGGAUGACGGCCUUCGGGUUGUAAACUCCUUUCGCUAGGGACGAAGCUUUUUGUGACGGUACCUAGAGAAGAAGCACCGGCUAACUACGUG
rnacentral:rRNA from 1 species